UGGCCGUAAACGAUGUGGACUUGGUGUUGGAAUGGCUCCGAGCUGCUCCAGUGCCGAAGGGAGCUGUUAAGUCCACCGCCUGGGAAGUACGGUCGCAAGACUGAGACUUAAAGGAAUUGGCGGGGGAGCACCACAACGGGUGGAGCCUGCGGUUUAAUUGGACUCAACGCCGGGAAGCUCACCGGAUAAGACAGCGGAAUGAUUGCCGGGCUGAAGACCCUGCAUGACCAGCUGAGAGGAGGUGCAUGGCGUAGUCGUGU
rnacentral:rRNA from 1 species